rnacentral:rRNA from 1 species
CCUACGGGGGGCUGCAGUGGGGAAUAUUGCACAAUGGGCGCAAGCCUGAUGCAGCCAUGCCGCGUGUGUGAAGAAGGCCUUCGGGUUGUAAAGCACUUUCAGCGGGGAGGAAGGCGUUAAGGUUAAUAACCUUGGCGAUUGACGUUACCCGCAGAAGAAGCACCGGCUAACUCCGUGCCAGCAGCCGCGGUAAUACGGAGGGUGCAAGCGUUAAUCGGAAUUACUGGGCGUAAAGCGCACGCAGGCGGUCUGUCAAGUCGGAUGUGAAAUCCCCGGGCUCAACCUGGGAACUGCAUUCGAAACUGGCAGGCUAGAGUCUUGUAGAGGGGGGUAGAAUUCCAGGUGUAGCGGUGAAAUGCGUAGAGAUCUGGAGGAAUACCGGUGGCGAAGGCGGCCCCCUGGACAAAGACUGACGCUCAGGUGCGAAAGCGUGGGGAGCAAACAGGAUUAAUACCCGGUAGUC